rnacentral:rRNA from 1 species
GAAUCGAGUUAACUCCCAACCCCUGUGAACAUACCAAUUGUUGCCUCGGCGGAUCAGCCCGCUCCCGGUAAAACGGGACGGCCCGCCAGAGGACCCCUAAACUCUGUUUCUAUAUGUAACUUCUGAGUAAAACCAUAAAUAAAUCAAAACUUUCAACAACGGAUCUCUUGGUUCUGGCAUCGAUGAAGAACGCAGCAAAAUGCGAUAAGUAAUGUGAAUUGCAGAAUUCAGUGAAUCAUCGAAUCUUUGAACGCACAUUGCGCCCGCCAGUAUUCUGGCGGGCAUGCCUGUUCGAGCGUCAUUUCAACCCUCAAGCCCCCGGGUUUGGUGUUGGGGAUCGGCGAGCCCUUGCGGCAAGCCGGCCCCGAAAUCUAGUGGCGGUCUCGCUGCAGCUUCCAUUGCGUAGUAGUAAAACCCUCGCAACUGGUACGCGGCGCGGCCAAGCCGUUAAACCCCCAACUUCUGAAUGUUGACCUCGGAUCAGGUAGGAAUACCCGCUGAACUCCCCAUAUCAAAAGCCCGGGAGAAAA